rnacentral:pre_miRNA from 1 species
AGCUUUAUGUUUCCGUGUCGAGAUAUCGUUAGCCACCAACCUAAUAUGGCUAAUGACACUUCCAAGACAAGCGAGGUA